CCCGGGUCUUGUACACACCGCCCGUCACACCAUGGGAGCGGGUGCACCAGAAGUAGGUAGGCUAACGCAAGGGGCCGUUACCACGGUGCGACUUCGUGACUGGGGUG
rnacentral:rRNA from 1 species